rnacentral:rRNA from 1 species
CCUACGGGUGGCUGCAGUGAGGAAUAUUGGUCAAUGGCCGUAAGUCUGAACCAGCCAAGUAGCGUGAGGGAAGACUGCCCUAUGGGUUGUAAACCUCUUUUAUGCGGGGAUAAAGGUGUCCAAGUGUGGAUGUUUGCAGGUACCGCAUGAAUAAGGACCGGCUAAUUCCGUGCCAGCAGCCGCGGUAAUACGGAAGGUCCGGGCGUUAUCCGGAUUGAUUGGGUUUAAAGGGGGCGUAGGCGGGUCUAUAAGCGUGCCGUGAAAUUUUGUGGCUCAACCAUGGGAGUGCGGCGAGAACUGGAGACCUGGAGUGCGCGGAAGGCAGGCGGAAUUCGUGGUGUAGCGGUGAAAUGCUUAGAUAUCACGAAGAACCCCGAUGGCGAAGGCAGCCUGCUGCAGCGUAACUGACGCUGAAGCUCGAAAGCGCGGGUAUCGAACAGGAUUAGAUACCCUUGUAGUC